CAAGGAAUUUUCCACAAUGGGCGCAAGCCUGAUGGAGCAACGCCGCGUGCGGGAUGACGCCCUUCGGGGUGUAAACCGCUUUUCGAGGGGACGAAGGCAAUGACGGUACCCUCGGAAUAAGGAUCGGCUAACUACGUGCCAGCAGCCGCGGUAAGACGUAGGAUCCGAGCGUUGUCCGGAGUUACUGGGCGUAAAGCGCGCGCAGGCGGAUACGCGCAUCGGCGGUGAAAGCCCCCCGCUCAACGGGGGAGGGUCCGUCGAGAUGGCGUGUCUGGAGGCAGGGAGAGGCCAGUGGAAUUCCGGGUGUAGUGGUGAAAUGCGUAGAGAUCCGGAGGAACACCAGUGGCGAAGGCGGCUGGCUGGACCUGACCUGACGCUGAGGCGCGAAGGCGUGGGGAGCGAACGGG
rnacentral:rRNA from 1 species